UUUAGAGGAAGUAAAAGUCGUAACAAGGUUUCCGUAGGUGAACCUGCGGAAGGAUCAUUAGUGAAUCUUCAAAGUCGGCUCGUUGGAUUGUGCUGGUGGGCAGCCACAUGUGCACGUCUGCGGGUCGCAAAUCCACACACCUGUGCAUCUACGACUCUGAGUGCCGCUUUGCAUGGCCCUUGAUUGGACCUGGCGCUCGAGUACUUUUCACACACUCUUGAAUGUAACGGAAUGUCAAUGUUGUGCAUAAUGUACAAACGAAACAACUUUCAACAACGGAUCUCUUGGCUCUCGCAUCGAUGAAGAACGCAGCGAAAUGCGAUAAGUAAUGUGAAUUGCAGAAUUCAGUGAAUCAUCGAAUCUUUGAACGCACCUUGCACCCUUUGGUAUUCCGAAGGGUACGCCCGUUUGAGUGUCAUUGUAAUCUCACUACCAUCGACUUUGGUCUUUUCGGUAUGUGGACAUGGAUGCUGCCGUUGAUGUUGACGGCUCGUCUGAAAUGCCUGAGUGUACCCUGGUUUGCGGCGUAUUCGGUGUGAUACAUCUUCACCGGAGUUGAUCCUUGUGGUCGCGUCUGUAAUGGUGUGGCUCUAUGCUUCCAAUCGUCUCGUUGGUUAGACAAUCUCUGACAAUUUGACCUCAAAUCGGGUGGGACUACCCGCUGAACUUAAGCAUAUCAAUAAGCGGAGGAAAAGAAACUAACAAGGAUUCCCCUAGUAACGGCGAGUGAAGAGGGAAAAGCUCAAAUUUUGAAUCUGGUGUCUUUGACUCCCGAGUUGUAAUCUAGAGAAGUGUUUUCCGUGUCGGACCGUGCACAAGUUCCCUGGAACGGGGCGUCAUAGAGGGUGAGAAUCCCGUAUAUGGCAUGGACUACCGAUGCUUUUGUGAUACACUCUCAACGAGUCGAGUUGUUUGGGAAUGCAGCUCAAAAUGGGUGGUAAAUUCCAUCUAAAGCUAAAUAUUGGCGAGAGACCGAUAGCGAACAAGUACCGUGAGGGAAAGAUGAAAAGCACUUUGGAAAGAGAGUGAAACAGUACGUGAAAUUGUUGAAAGGGAAGCGUUUGAAGUCAGUCAUAUCUGGCGGGAUUCAGCCGGGCUUUUGCCAGGUGUACUUCUCGUCCGAUGGGUCAGCAUCAAUUUCGACCGGGGGAAAAAGGCAUUGGGAAUGUGGCUGUCUUCGGGCAGUGUUAUAGCCUCGUGUUGUAUGCCUCGGUUGGGAUUGAGGAACGCAGCGCGCCGCAUGGCCAGGGGUUCGCCUCU
rnacentral:rRNA from 1 species